CCAAUAAAAAGAGGUUAUGAAAAAGGAAGUGGAAUCUCUCGUUAGACGCUGUAGCUCAUGGAGUUCUCCAUGUCACUGCACAUAAAAGCUGAUCAAAGUCUAGGAUGCUACAGACCUGAGAAACGGGAACGCUGCAACGCUUCCUGGCGCAUCUCCUUUACUGCUCAUCGACGACUGCAUUGAUGACAUUGGACCUGCCGCAUGUAUCAGUAAACUUGAUGUGUUGAAAGGAUGAUUAAAGUUCCUUUAACCACGAGAGCGUCAGAAAUUUCUGCUCUUGUGACUCCAGGUUUCUCCAGCGCACCAUCAUGCCUGCUUCAGCUACAUCUCAGAGGCUUGUAAACAAAGAAUCAGCUAAUGUGCAGAAUAUGUCCUGAUGACAUCACUGAGGAUCUCUCGCCGCCUCCUCUCUGCUGAUGACCAGCAGCCGCUGAGGUUGAGACUUCGGGUAACAGGCCCGGCCGUCCUGUUAGAUAAGCUCCUGGCAGCCGUUUGGUCCAAAUCUGGUAUUUUCUGGGCCGUUUCAUGAUGCUUGUCUGCACUCACGGGUACUGACAGACCCUCAAUGUGCAGCCUGCUGAUAACACCCCGAGGGUGCUUUCAGGUAACGUGCCGGUCGUCUCUGGGACUAAAAGCUUUCGCCCGCUGUUGGUCCUCUUGAUGCCUCAUUUCAGCCUCCGUUUGUCACCUGAAACAGGAAACGGCACAGGUGACGUGUUCCAGGAGGAUCGCUGAUCCAGCGAUUGGUGACAGGAACGCUCAGCAGACUGAACCAGCUUUAACUAAAGCGAUUACUACCACGGUAACAAAUACUGCACUGUAUUAAAUACACACAAACACGCUGUUUAACACUUUCAGUCCCGCCGUGUCGUGCUUGGACUGAGAGUCAUCUGCAUCCCCCUCAGUGUGAGUCUGCAGCUGCGCAUCGUUUCACGCAUGUUGCUGCCGUCUCCUUGUGCCGUGCAUUAUUUCUGCACCUUCUGUUUUUCAACCUUUUCUAUGCAGAAACAGGAAACAAUAGCCCUGCAUGAGCUUUGCGAUCAGUCCAGCCUCUCGCCUCCCCUGUGGUCUGACAAUCGUAGCAGAGAGAUUUAGAAAGUUCUGACUGGGCGGCUGCACAGAGAUAACCCUUUGAACAUUUCUAUCCAAAGCCUGUAUAACAGGCUGCUGCUCUUUUCACCUCUGUGUGCUUUUCAUCCUUCAAAUUGGUCUGCGGUGCCUUCUCCACAAAGCCGAGCUGCCCUUUAGCUGCAGGAAUGUUCUUCCUCCAGCACGCUGCGGGCAAAGCCUAGUUAGUGCGAUUCUCUGUGCACAAAAACCCUUUGAUUUUAGAAUUCAGUGUCUAUAAAAGGCAGAAGGCAAUGUCUAAAUUUUUAGAUUAAGAAAAAAAGGUUGUGUCCACACAUGCAGAAAAAAAUCAAUUUCCAGAAUCAAUCCAGGGAGCAGGAUGUGCAGGUCUCUUAUGGCGCUCACAGGACUCUGAAGCCGUUUCCAAACAUGAACUCAGGAGAGACUUUGUCACGUGUAACACGCUGCAGGAAAUUGUCCACCACAGACACACUGCUGGAUCUGGUUCAGGUGCGAUAGCCAGCGUGAGCCGUGGAGACAGGCAGGGACACAUGACACCCACUCACUGUGAAUUCACCACUUCCUGUUCUAUUCUCACACAAGUGCAAAUCACAGUCCUGGAGAGACAGCAGGUUAAAGUGAUCCAUGCUGGAAAUUUGUGCUCUCACGUGUGACUGAUGUGAUGUGAAGCUGUGAGCUGCAUGAAAAACUGUUAUUGUAGAACCGCCCACAGGUUCACCAUAACGGACGCACGUGUCCUGCACCAAGUCAGGUUUAUGUCUUGUUGUAAAUCCCAAACAAUCAAAUAACACAAAACAAAAGACAAAAUGACAAAGUUUAAGAAGUGAAAGAUAAAAUGAAAAAACCUGAGUGAGAACAACACAAGUGAAAGUACUCUGAGCUCAUCCUGAUUUAAAUGUAGGAGAGGUCCCGAUGUGUGAAGAACAUCCCAACGUUUGACUAAAACCUGGGAGGACGAAGGUGAGAGAGAGAGGUGUGAAUUUCAGUGUUCUGAUGAAAGUCGUUCAAGACUUCAAUAGCACAACUCGGUUUUAUGUUUAAAAGUCAGAGUGAGAGUAUUUGCACAUACACAGUGCGAAGAGAACUGAGAGAACCGGGACUAAGCCGCUGCGCAGACUUUACUAAUCAAGUUCACUGAUGGUGUGUCUGUCCGGCAGCCGAUAUGUAUGUACUUUAAUCACUUUGAUAACCUUUCUCUCUGAGUGUGUUGUUGUAAAUAUGCAUAAUGUGUGAGGGACAGCAAAGUGACGACGCCCCCCUGCCAAAGCUGAUUGCUCAUCCAGUCGAUAUUGUUGCUAUAGUGCUGCCCAUCAUCCUGGGAUCAACACAAGAACUUGGUGAAGACAAAGACAAAAGUCUUUAUCCUGCCU